rnacentral:rRNA from 1 species
CCUACGGGAGGCAGCAGUGGGGAAUCUUGCGCAAUGGGCGAAAGCCUGACGCAGCAACGCCGCGUGCGGGAUGAAGGCCUUCGGGUUGUAAACCGCUUUUAACAGGAACGAAAAUGACGGUACCUGUAGAAUAAGGUGCGGCCAACUACGUGCCAGCAGCCGCGGUGACACGUAGGCACCAAGCGUUGUCCGGAUUUAUUGGGCGUAAAGAGCUCGUAGGCGGUUCGAUAAGUCGGGUGUGAAAACUCUGGGCUUAACCCAGAGACGCCACUCGAUACUAUUGUGACUAGAGUUCGGUAGGGGAGCGGGGAAUUCCUAGUGUAGCGGUGAAAUGCGCAGAUAUUAGGAGGAACACCGGUGGCGAAGGCGCCGCUCUGGGCCGAAACUGACGCUGAGGAGCGAAAGCGUGGGUAGCAAACAGGAUUAGAUACCCUGGUAGUCCACGCCGUAAACGGUGGGCACUAGGUGUGGGCUCCAACCAACGGAGUCCGCGCCGUCGCUAACGCAUUAAGUGCCCCGCCUGGGGAGUACGGCCGCAAGGUUAAAACUUAAAUGAAUUGACGG